UUUAUACAAGAAAUCAAUGAAAUUGCAAGUAUCUCCAAAGUUGUCAUCAGUCAAAAAUAUUUGAGCAUACACAAUGGACACUUGCACAGAUUAUGUUCCCAAGUGUUAUCAGGAAUCUUCAACAUUUUAGUAUUGUUUUUUCUUUAUUCAGUAUUUAUGCACAUUCAAUAAUGUUUGUUGACUUCUUGUAAUUGUAGGUAUUCCAGGAAAAUCUGUGUGUGGUAAAUGUGGGACUGCUCUUCUCCACCGUUGGGGAGCAACUUAUGUGAGUUGUGCAACAUGUUCCGCAAUAAUCUCAGUGCCCCCACAAGGUCCUCUUUUUUUAUUUUAAAAAAAUUUCC
rnacentral:lncRNA from 1 species